GUACCCUGGUAGUCCACGCUGUAAACGAUGUCGACUUGGAGGUUGUGCCCUUGAGGCGUGGCUUCCGGAGCUAACGCGUUAAGUCGACCGCCUGGGGAGUACGGCCGCAAGGUUAAAACUCAAAUGAAUUGACGGGGGCCCGCACAAGCGGUGGAGCAUGUGGUUUAAUUCGAUGCAACGCGAAGAACCUUACCUACUCUUGACAUCCACGGAAUUCGCCAGAGAUGGCUUAGUGCCUUCGGGAACCGUGAGACAGGUGCUGCAUGGCUGUCGUCAGCUCGUGUUGUGAAAUGUUGGGUUAAGUCCCGCAACGAGCGCAACCCUUAUCCUUUGUUGCCAGCACGUAAUGGUGGGAACUCAAAGGAGACUGCCGGUGAUAAACCGGAGGAAGGUGGGGAUGACGUCAAGUCAUCAUGGCCCUUACGAGUAGGGCUACACACGUGCUACAAUGGCAUAUACAAAGAGAAGCGAACUCGCGAGAGCAAGCGGACCUCAUAAAGUAUGUCGUAGUCCGGAUUGGAGUCUGCAACUCGACUCCAUGAAGUCGGAAUCGCUAGUAAUCGUAGAUCAGAAUGCUACGGUGAAUACGUUCCCGGGCCUUGUACACACCGCCCGUCACACCAUGGGAGUGGGUUGCAAAAGAAGUAGGUAGCUUAACCUUCUGACCGCG
rnacentral:rRNA from 1 species